rnacentral:lncRNA from 1 species
AUGCAUGCUGAAGUAUAAUUUAUGAAACUGAGCCCACGAAGCAGCCAAUCAGUUAGCUCCUCAUAACAAGUCCAACUGGCUCUGAAGAGCUGAAAGUGCUGCAACAGAACAAUAAAGAAGAGCUAUCCCACACAUUAAUCUGCUUAUCUGGGAUUGCUUUCCAUCAGAAAACAGAAAACAUGAAAGGAUAUCAUAUAUAUGCUUCACUGUUAACAAAACCUGCAGAUAACUGCACUGAGAUCAGAAGUGCUACGAUCAA